AAGGAGGCCUGCCAGUGCCCGCAGAGUUACUGCUGCUAUUGGGGAAAAUCAUUGCCCAGCCUAAGCCCGAGCUUCCCCUCCGGACGGGAAGCAACUUUUGAGGCAACUUGGCUGGCGCGCGAUUCAGGGAGGCGGCUACUGGAAACUGCCUCUCCCUCCCCGGCUGCUGGGACUGGGCUCCUCUUCUCUUGCCGCUGGCUGGCUCGAUGCCUCUUCCUCCGCCUCCACCCCCUUCUCCCUUGGCUGAGUCUCUCAUGCAACGCUUCUGUCGUCCUCCUUCCCUUCUCUUGGGAUCACCCGCGGCAGCAAAACCGACCUGAACCUAUACAACUAGCCACCCAGACUGCCAUAAAAGUCACUUCAUUGAUCUGUCUACUGUCCGCGUUGGUAGUGGCGACUUCUCCGGCAACAGAGUCGGUCCCACCUACUAUCGGCCGCAACCACCGCCCAGAGAGAGAAACACACACAGAGGGCGCGCAAGCGGGCGGAGGGGGGGAAGAGGAACAGCCCAGCGUAGGCACUGUACCGUCUACACGCCUCCAGGCUGCGGCGGCGACGGUAAAAUCUUGAGCUGUUGGCGCCGCUUGCCUUUGUUCCCGGAGGGGCGGGCUGCUCCCCCAAGUGUGCGGGGUUCUGCGUCUGCAGCAGGCGUCGGCCGCUCCCUUCCCCCCUCCCAGUCCCGUCGAAUGGUUGCUUCUGGCUCCUGCAUACCGCGCAUUCCUCGGGGCAGCCAGUCAGUCGGCGCGCGCUCUCUCUGGGCUCCGUGUGCCCCAGCGGCGGCAGCACUGCGUUCUACGCCCCAGGCAAAGAGCACUCCGGAGGUGGGCAGGGGAGGCGGGAGAGCGAGCGUGUAUGUAUAUAUGUGAUAUAUACACACACAUAUAAGUCCCCCGCCUACACCUUCAUUUACCUCCUUUUGAAACAAAGAAUCAAUAACUUGGCAAAAGGACUUGCGCUCUUCAUGUUGUAAUAUCACAGGAAGGGCUCCAAAGUAUGUGUUUGUAUUAGAGAGGGAAAGAAGACAGCCAAGCGAGCGCCCUUCAAACCUCUCAUUGUGCUUUCAGAGGCGAGGCAGUGGGCGCGGAAGAACGCGCACCAUUUUAGUUUCUUGGUUCAAGGAGUUGCGCCGUGUGCAGAGGCCCAACUGUGUCUCUUGGGGAUGGCUCUUACCCUAGUGGCAGAAUAGCGAAUGUGCGUGCAUAAAAACUUGACAGAGAACGCCAAAGCUUGUGCCAAAGCCUUGUGAUCUCUAGUAAUAUGAUCCCUCACACAGGCGCAUACAGAGAUUGUGAAACCGCUAUUAAAGCGCCGAAUCCCUUCUUCAAGGGACUGACUAUGGCUGCAAAGUCUACACGGAAACGUUACACAGCAAGAUUACUUCUACUCCAGUACCAGAGUUUCAGCUUAGUAACCCUGCAGCCAGAAAGUCUUUCUAGUAUGGGAACUUAGGAGGAAAUCAGAGUUUAAAAGCCUAUUGGCUUCAAGAGAGUAAAAGCUGCAUCUCUGGCACCUGGCUCUAUGCUUGUUUACUUGGAAGUUUACUCCCAAUGGAGUUUGCACAGGAGUACAGCACUGGUUUUCAAAACUUGGCUAGAUGAGCUGCUACAUCUAUGGACAUCUAGGUUUGCUCAUUCACCACUACCCUGCACUAUUUCACAGCUGAGUAAUUAUACAAACUUCACGGUUUGACAUCUUGGAAAGUGUCAUCUCAUUUGCCAGACAAUUACUCUGUACAAUGAAGAAUCACAAACACUGGCAACUAUAUGUUUUGUCUCUGGUCCUACUGUCUGACCAGCUAUCGGUGCAACUGAAACAUGCCACAACUAAACCUCAAAUAUAUGAAGAACUGCUAAAUAUGGAAUAUACACUUCUGUUCUAAAAUAAAAUUAAAUUUGAUCUUA